UCUAGAGGCUUCGGCAAUGGGGGCAACCCUGACCGAGCGACGCCGCGUGGAGGAUGAAGCCCUUCGGGGUGUAAACUCCUUUCGACCGGAAAGAAAGCCCGGAUGGUGAAUUCGGGUCUGACGGUACUGGUGGAAGAAGCCACGGCUAACUCUGUGCCAGCAGCCGCGGUAAGACAGAGGUGGCAAGCGUUAUUCGGAUUUAUUGGGCGUAAAGGGCGCGUAGGCGGCCAGGUGCGUCUGGUGUGAAAUCGCUACCGCUUAACGGAGCGACUGCACUGGAGACGGCUUGGCUCGAGUGCGGGAGAGGUGAGUGGAAUUCCUGGUGUAGCGGUGGAAUGCGUAGAUAUCAGGAAGAACACCAGUGGCGAAGGCGGCUCACUGGCCCGGCACUGACGCUGAGGCGCGAAAGCGUGGGGAGCAAACG
rnacentral:rRNA from 1 species